ensembl:snRNA U6 U6 spliceosomal RNA
GUGCUUGCUUUGGCAGCACACAUACUAAAAGUGGAACCAUACAGAGAAGAUUAACAUGGCCCCUGCACAAGGAUGACCUGCAAAUUCGUGAAGCGUUCCAGUAAAGA